rnacentral:rRNA from 1 species
AGUGAACGCUGGCGGUAGACCUAACACAUGCAAGUCGAACGGCAGCACAGUAAGAGCUUGCUCUUACGGGUGGCGAGUGGCGGACGGGUGAGGAAUACAUCGGAAUCUACUUUUUCGUGGGGGAUAACGUAGGGAAACUUACGCUAAUACCGCAUACGACCUACGGGUGAAAGCAGGGGAUCUUCGGACCUUGCGCGAUUGAAUGAGCCGAUGUCGGAUUAGCUAGUUGGCGGGGUAAAGGCCCACCAAGGCGACGAUCCGUAACUGGUCUGAGAGGAUGAUCAGCCACACUGGAACUGAGACACGGUCCAGACUCCUACGGGAGGCAGCAGUGGGGAAUAUUGGACAAUGGGCGCAAGCCUGAUCCAGCCAUACCGCGUGGGUGAAGAAGGCCUUCGGGUUGUAAAGCCCUUUUGUUGGGAAAGAAAAGCAGCAGGUUAAUACCCCGCUGUUCUGACGGUACCCAAAGAAUAAGCACCGGCUAACUUCGUG